UCUCAGGGCCUCAAGGUCAGAGCUCAGCCUCCUGGAAGGCCGGGCGCCCGAGCGUGUGGAUUCCUGGACUUUCCCAUCUCAGCACUCUGCUCAGCCUGAGGUCGAAGUUCGGCAGCACUUGCUUUUGUGACCUUCCGCCCUAUGCUAAAAGUCAUCCUCAGGGAGGAUGAAAAAUAGUGCCGCCAUCUAAUAACGAUGCCCUGUACGUAAUGAGCCUGGGGCUUCAGAGCAAUCCCAUAAUAAGUGGGAAGCAGGCAGCCUGAUGCAUUGCCUACACCUGCCACCUGACCACAAACAAAGACUAUUGGUGGACUUCACCCAAUCAGUUAAAGGCCUGAAUAGAACAAAAGGCUGUCUUCACCUGAGCAAGAAGGAAUUUUGCAGCAGCUGACCUUCAGACCUGGAAUGGGACAUUGGCUCUUUCCUGAGUCUUCAGCCUGAUGAUCUUCAAAUUAGAACCGUAGCAUCAGCUCUCCUCUGGGCCUAUAGCCUGCCUGUCUACUCUGCAGAUUUGGGAUUUGGCAGUCUCCAAAAUCAUAUUAUGAUCGUCUCGAGGAAACGGCCUUAUUUACCUUCGUCUAAGUGGAGCAGGUGUUGCACAUGGCACAUAAAAGGCUUUUAGACGGCUUCAUGUGGUCCCUGGAGGACUUGGGUUUUGCCAUAGCCUAAGGUUGGUCUUACCUGGAUGGUGAGCGCUGAUUCAACAGGACAUUGGUGUUCCUGUCUGCUGGGGAUGCGGAGAAUAUAGGCCAGUGGAAGUUAAAAAAAACCAACAACAACAACAACAACAAAAGAACAGAAAACAAAAAGCAAAAGUUGGAAGCCACUGCAUAGAGAAAUCCAGAACUUAAAGAGCUCUACAAAAGAAGAUGCAAGCUUAUGGUAAUUUAUACCACUUUGCGGUCAGCUACUAGAUGAAUUGGCUAUGCCAACAAGGUAACUAAAAUUGACACACUUUGAGAUGCAAUAAAGAAUAAACAGGAAAGCUUUCACUGCAAUUACAGGUCAGAGAAAGCAAUAAUCACCUUAAAGUGUAUGUUCUUUAGUUGCUUUAGUCGUCUUCCUAUUCCAAGGUAUUAUUAAGCAGAUAACACAAUGCAGAUCCACCUGUGCACAUGCUCUUUGGCACCUCCAGAGUGCCUUUCUGUAAGGAUGUUACACGAUUUCUAAAAGACUUAAGGAUAACUGCUUUAUUAAAAUGCUAUUAGAGAAAAAAGUUGUAGAAGUAUCUUUUUAAUAUGAGAGAUUUUGACAUAUCAAGUAAAAAGACAGUAUACUUUUUUCUUUUUAGGCCUCAUACCAUAGUUACAGCAUAGUGUCUGUGAUAUGAUCCCGUUUUUGUGAAAAAAUAAUGUGUGUGUGUAUGUGUGUAUCAGGAUUUGUCAGCUUUGGUACUGUUCACAUUUGGGGCCGGAUGAUUAUUUGUUGUUCCUGCACUAGAGGAAAUUUAGAAGCAUCCUUAAAUUCUAAGAACCACUAGAUACCAGUAGCAGGACCACCUCCCCCCCCCACCCAUCUGUGGCCUCUCCAGUUGUGACAACCAAAAAUGUCACCAGACCUUGCCAAAUCACCCCAGUUGAGAACCACUGAUACAGAUAUAACUGACCAAGGAGUGUCUCUUUAGUGGAUAGACUUUUUUUUUUUUUUUUAAUGUCUUUCUCUUUUGGUUGUUUAUAGAUUCUGAUUUUUUAUAAUGAGCAUAUGGUAUCUUCAUAAUAAAAAAUUCCCAUAAAACUGUAUUUACAUUGAAAAUAUAUACUAGUUUCAUAGCAGUUACUUUUAUAAAUUUGAUGAUGGAGAUU
rnacentral:lncRNA from 1 species